rnacentral:rRNA from 1 species
UGAGGAAUAUUGGUCAAUGGGCGAGAGCCUGAACCAGCCAAGUAGCGUGAAGGAUGACUGCCCUAUGGGUUGUAAACUUCUUUUAUAAAGGAAUAAAGUCGGGUAUGGAUACCCGUUUGCAUGUACUUUAUGAAUAAGGAUCGGCUAACUCCGUGCCAGCAGCCGCGGUAAUACGGAGGAUCCGAGCGUUAUCCGGAUUUAUUGGGUUUAAAGGGAGCGUAGAUGGAUGUUUAAGUCAGUUGUGAAAGUUUGCGGCUCAACCGUAAAAUUGCAGUUGAUACUGGAUAUCUUGAGUGCAGUUGAGGCAGGCGGAAUUCGUGGUGUAGCGGUGAAAUGCUUAGAUAUCACGAAGAACUCCGAUUGCGAAGGCAGCCUGCUAAGCUGCAACUGACAUUGAGGCUCGAAAGUGUGGGUAUCAAACAGGAUUAGAUACCCUGGUAGUCCACACGGUAAACGAUGAAUACUCGCUGUUUGCGAUAUACAGCAAGCGGCCAAGCGAAAGCGUUAAGUAUUCCACCUGGGGAGUACGCCGGCAACGGUGAAACUCAAAGGAAUUGACGGGGGCCCGCACAAGCGGAGGAACAUGUGGUUUAAUUCGAUGAUACGCGAGGAACCUUACCCGGGCUUAAAUUGCAGAUGAAUUACGGUGAAAGCCGUAAGCCGCAAGGCAUCUGUGAAGGUGCUGCAUGGUUGUCGUCAGCUCGUGCCGUGAGGUGUCGGCUUAAGUGCCAUAACGAGCGCAACCCUUGUUGUCAGUUACUAACAGGUUCCGCUGAGGACUCUGACAAGACUGCCAUCGUAAGAUGUGAGGAAGGUGGGGAUGACGUCAAAUCAGCACGGCCCUUACGUCCGGGGCUACACACGUGUUACAAUGGAGGGUACAGAGGGCCGCUACCACGCGAGUGGAUGCCAAUCCCAAAAACCUCUCUCAGUUCGGACUGGAGUCUGCAACCCGACUCCACGAAGCUGGAUUCGCUAGUAAUCGCGCAUCAGCCACGGCGCGGUGAAUACGUUCCC